UAGAGAAAGGGUGAGGAAAGAGGUUAAGGCCAUCUUAGCUACUUCAGCAACCACAGCAACUACACACAGAACUCUGGAUCCAGCUAAUCAAAUACAAAUGGACCCAGAAAAACAGUUUCACAGAAAGCUGUCUGAAAAUCUGUUUAACCUCAUAUGGUAUCGCUGAUUGCCCUGAGAGAUCAGGGGAAUGGUAUGGGACUGACAAGGCCUCUCUCGCUCGCUCUCUCCAUUCUCCAGUGCAGCUGUACUAAACUCAACUACAACCAUCAUCACACUGUCCUCCUCCUGCAGUCAGGUGUGAAAUGACAUGACGGCUCUAUUUCUCGCUCGCAAGAAAUAGUUCAGCUGAAUGUUAAACCAGACUUUGAGAACAAGCCCAGUUGCAGUGUCUGGUGACAGAUUUAGGAAUUCACUCUAUUUCAGCAGUGGAGAUUGGAAGAUGAUGAGAGCUGACGUCUUUCCCAGCCUUGCGAAAUUUUUUGAGGACAGCCCUGAAUACAUUGUUGGAUGAUUUGAAUUCCGUUUGCUCAAUUAUGUUAUAUUUAGAAAUAUAACGGUUCAUGCCAGCUCUUGGGAAGAGAAAACAUGACACUGAAUACUCUGUGCCCGUUGCGCUUCUGACUGUGGCAUAGAAUGCUCACAGCUGGGUAUUUAGGGCAUUUGCCCCCUCUCUCUCUAUCUCUUCCACAGAAGUAUUUUUGGCUUUAAGCCAGUCGUUAAAAACAUUUACUGCCCAAGCUGUUGUUUUUUUUUUUUUUUUUUUUUUUUUUUUUUGGUGUUUACUUCGUGUUUUUCGCCCU